CCAACCCCAAACAGCUACACGUCGUUUGUCCACAAAGUGAAGAGAGUCUCGGAGAUAUCUAUAAGAAAAUGCAGAUAACACAGGUACAGCCAGUGAACAUCAUAGUCUCUGUUUCUGUGGUCGUCUUGAUCUGAUAUAUGUGUUUGUCUUCUUAGUCGCCAUCAGUCAUCUACAUAAUACUGGUGUUCCGUGUGGUGAUGGUGGCUGUCACUCUCUUCUUGAAAGUCAUCUUUGUUUUCUUCAUACCGCUAAGAAACAAAAGAAGAGUAUAACAGCCAUUGCAGUAGGCUAUAUGGUGCAUACUCGAGUAUAUGCAUUUAUGAACAAG